CCUACGGGUGGCAGCAGUGGGGAAUAUUGGACAAUGGGCGAAAGCCUGAUCCAGCCAUGCCGCGUGUGUGAAGAAGGCCUUCGGGUUGUAAAGCACUUUCAGUGGGGAAGAAAGCCUUGGGGCUAAUACCCUCGAGGAAGGACAUCACCCACAGAAGAAGCACCGGCUAACUCCGUGCCAGCAGCCGCGGUAAUACGGAGGGUGCGAGCGUUAAUCGGAAUUACUGGGCGUAAAGCGCGCGUAGGCGGUCUGAUAAGCCGGUUGUGAAAGCCCCGGGCUCAACCUGGGAACGGCAUCCGGAACUGUCAGGCUAGAGUGCAGGAGAGGAAGGUAGAAUUCCCGGUGUAGCGGUGAAAUGCGUAGAAAUCGGGAGGAAUACCAGUGGCGAAGGCGGCCUUCUGGACUGACACUGACGCUGAGGUGCGAAAGCGUGGGUAGCAAACAGGAUUAGAUACCCGAGUAGUC
rnacentral:rRNA from 1 species